rnacentral:lncRNA from 1 species
CAAAUUGUUCUUCUGGGCUUUUCGCACGUGCUUCCUCCAGUUUUGAACGACUGAGAUAUUCGAGACGUUCCCGAAAUUCCUGUGCCCAUCGAUUGGGUAGAUUUUCUGUAGUUUCCGAAUCCAUCGCACAAGACAAUAUUUUAUCACUCAAAUAAGCUGUGUGAAAAGUAGACCUUGUGAAAAAUUAAAUGAAUCAAGCGAGUAACUGACGUGCAACUGACCAAAAGAUGAAACGCGGUGGACUUUAAACUAUUGGCUGGCCCCAAGAGAGACGAAUUCUGGAGUGGAAAUUGUAAUUAGAAAGUGGGAUUUUCCCAGCGUCCCGAAACGGCGACAAGGACAAGCAACGUGGAGCUUUGUUUACAAAUUUGAAUUUCCCGCAAGAUUUCGAAGGCACAUUUUAGUUUCAUCGAUCGGCAACAUUCUCCGCCUCUACACCGUUCACCGGUAGAAAGAACCAAAUUUUAGAGAUAAAAAAAUUUGCGCAACCGAGGAAUGUCACAUGUAAAUGUUUAUCUUUAUUUCCUCGCUAAUUAGCAGCUAAUAGUGAUUAUUUCGAUGAUAUACCUAUAUUUAUAGUUGCUUUACGUGUCAGUGUCCCAAUCGGAUUGUAAUCAGUAGUUUUUUUCAAAAAUUACCGUAGAAAUUAGUGCACAUCAAUUCACUCAACCCUAACCUAAUACUGAAUUAUCCUACUUUAGAAUGUACUUUUGGUUUUCGCUUUCAAUUUCCUCAUGUUCUUUCACCAGGAUUGUGUAAAAUUUUUCAGACUGCCACUCCCCAUUUGUACUUGAAGUAUUUGUAUUUCAUCUCUACGAUUUAACCUGCACCGUUUGAAGAUGGCCACAGCAGUAGAGGUGAUAAUGGAUUCUGCUGCAAGCGAAUGCCAAGCCUCAACAAGUCUAAUCAAGGAAGAGUUGCAUUCAGAAGACGAAGAAACCGGCAAACCAAAGUUUUCUGUUGAUAGAAGUGCCAUUUCAGCCAUUGCUCAGCCAGAUUUGGCUCCUGAGCUGCAAGAUUUGAAUUUAUCCGUGUAUGAUCAAGAUGUCUUUGAAGCUGCAGUCCUGAAACAAGUCGAUGAUGCUCUAGAGCGUGAAGAAGCUCAGAAAAAAGUAAAAAUAAAAAGGUUGUGA